AAUUCCAGUGCUCAUUUUCGUAUCUUUGUAGGGGACACUGAAACUUUUAAACAUGUCGAUCAGUUCAAGUACCUUGGGGUACGUAUUAUUAUACGUAAUAAUGAGGGACUAAGAGAAACAGAAAUUAAAAAUCAUAUUGAACAGAGUCGUAAAGUUAUUGGUUGCUUAAAUUCAGUUUGAUGGAACAGAAACAUUUCACGAUAGAAAUGCUGCGCAGUGAAGAAUUAUCAAUAUGAACAUAAGACAAAGAGCAGACCCAUAGAAACAGUUCUGGAAGGGAGAGGAUUAAAAUGGGCAUACAAUGAGGAUGGACAAACAAAGAUUACCCCUAAAUAUCUUUAAAUGGAACCCACCAGAACGGAGAAAGAUCCAGAACAUGAUGCAACGAGGGCAUGAAAGAAGCAAUGGAAGCCCGUGUUUUAGAUCAUGAAGACGCCACAGAUAGAAACCGAUAGAUAUUGGGAACGGGAACAACAUACAUAAUAUAAUGUUUAAAACUAAUUAUUUGUAACACGUAAUUCGUGAGGUUUAAAUUUUAAUUUAAUUUUAAGAAAUGGUACAUCUACAAUAUUAGGUACCUGGCUCUUUUUCAAUGUGUCUGAUUUGGAAUCACUUGGAGGAGCUUUGCUAGAAACAUUUUCACUGGAGCUCUUUUCUAGGCUUUUCGUGAGAUCACUUUGGUUACAAUAACUCUUUGAAAUAUAUCUAUGAUACUUAA